GUUUGAUGACGUCAUUGAACAUCAUUGUGACUACCUCCUAGAGAUGGAUUGUGAAUGUGGCAGACACACCCCUCCACACAAAAAACUGGCACAACUGUAUUGACACCAUUAGCCAUCAAUUACUUUUAUCCACGCUCUCAUCGCAGGGCAUCAUAGGAACUGUACAUUGCUGGUGUGAAU